UCUCCUGGACUCAGAGGCAAAUCUGGUU
rnacentral:piRNA from 1 species